rnacentral:rRNA from 1 species
UACGUAGGGGGCGAGCGUUGUCCGGAAUCAUUGGGCGUAAAGCGCGUGUAGGCGGCUCGAUAAGUCCGGUGUGAAACCUUGGGGCUCAACCCCAAGCCUGCACUGGAUACUGCCGAGCUAGAGUCCGGGAGGGGAGAGCGGAAUUCCUAGUGUAGCGGUGAAAUGCGCAGAUAUUAGGAAGAACACCGGUGGCGAAGGCGGCUCUCUGGAACGGUACUGACGCUGAGACGCGAAAGCGUGGGGAGCGAACAGG